rnacentral:misc_RNA from 1 species
GUUGGCAAGAAGGUGUAUCCGUAUUGCCCGAUCACCAUUGCUGAUCAUAAUUUUGCUGCUUUCCAUCCAUUCAGACAGCUGAAGGGCAAGAUCAAACCUAUCGGUUCUACGGAGAUUGUUGAUACAGCCAACAAUGUCUAUCUUUUGUAUGGAUUCCCCUUCGUUAUCCAAUUUGUUUAAAGCAUCUUUAAUGUUGGAUUCAGAGUCUGCUCUAUUGAUAAGGUCCGACAAUUUCCGGCGACCGUCGCUUAUUCGUUUUCUUUGGCUGAUGGCCGGCGUUGAUAUGGUCUCCACCGCCGCCGUUUCUGUUGAGAAACAUCGGCGAUAAGUCGUUGAUCGGAGAAGCUUCAAACAGAUAGCUCUGCCCACCAUUUCUU